UACAGAGGUCCCAAGCGUUGUUCGGAUUCACUGGGCGUAAAGGGUGCGUAGGCGGUCGGGUAAGUCUGAUGUGAAAUCUCACAGCUUAACUGUGAAACUGCAUUGGAUACUAUCCGGCUUGAGGAAUGGAGGGGAGACUGGAAUACUUGGUGUAGCAGUGAAAUGCGUAGAUAUCAAGUGGAACACCAGUGGCGAAGGCGAGUCUCUGGACAUUUCCUGACGCUGAGGCACGAAAGCCAGGGGAGCAAAAAGG
rnacentral:rRNA from 1 species